AACAACCUACCAUCUUAACACACUAAUAUCUAAAAAGUGCGAGAGGCCCAGAGCAGCAGCAGAAGCAGCAGCAGCAGCUCCAGCUUCUUCCCUCCCUCCCCAUGAAGAAGAGUUCCCUCCUCCUCCUCCUCCUGCUUCUCCUGCUCAGAGUUCCUGCCUCCAGCUGCCAGGGGGGACAGCCAGCCAGCAGCAGGAGGGGGGCUAGACAGCUGAAGGAGAACAAGUUUCCCCAAAAUUGGACUUCUCAGAACCUUUAAUAUGCUAAUGUGCAUUGUGAAUCUCCAAGAGGGGGAUAUGAUAUGCAGCAUUCUUGAAUACUUCUAAUGACAGGGAGCCCACUACCUCAUAAGCUGCAGUGAGAAGAGGAGUUUGUUAUUUUAAUCGGAGGCUGAAGAAACUAUAGAAUUAGCAGACAGAGAAAGUGUUGAAGGUAGAGGAUGGAGUUGCAGACUCUACAAGAGGCUCUUAAAGUGGAAAUUCAGGUUCACCAGAAACUGGUUGCUCAAAUGAAGCAAGAUCCACAGAAUGCUGACUUAAAGAAACAACUUCAUGAACUCCAAGCCAAAAUCACAGCUUUGAGUGAGAAACAGGUGUGCAGGUAGAUUUGACAGCCGAUCAAAGUAGGCUGUUUUCUUGUCUUCUACUCUUGGUCCAUGGAAUGGUUUUCAAGCUGUUGGCACUUCUUUAGUGAAGCAAAUCUGGGUCAAGAUGAGAUGAUGUAUGCCACUCAUUUCCUGAGUCCUCCAGGAAAGCAAGAGAAGAGUAUGUGGUCCAUAGUGGCCUGGAUAUGCUUCUUCAUGUGGAACUCUGUCCUGUAUUUUUCUUGAAGAAGGAGACACACACAAACGGAACAUUUUAAUUGAAGAUCACAUACAUGUCACAAGAUUUUAUUGAAUUUCAUCUGAAUUUUCCUUAAUAAAAAAUACAUAUAUAUACACACGGGAAAUUUUCAAUUGACAGUCCCACGGAUGUUACAAGAUUUUAUUGAAUUUCAUCUGAGCAUUAUAUAUUAGUCUAACAAAUUACAUGGUAGAGUGUAUGAAUAUGAGUAAACAAGUACAUAUUGUGGGGGAAGGUGCUGAAAUGUUCAAGUUGACAUUCCCAGAUAGAAAUGGAAUAGUUUGGAUGUUAUGCUCUGUGUUAAUUUCCACCUACCAGUCAGUAAGUAGAAAAACUAUGAAUAUAUUUUACUUCAGUUCUUUUUAGUUCCUACCUGGGGCAUGGUAAUCCCAAGAAGUAUAAAGAAAAAAAGUAGCAGCAAAUAUCCUGUUAGGAAUAUAAACAACAUAAUAACACUGAUGAUUGUGAUAGAUCCUGUAUAUUAAAGACU